AUGCUCCGCUCUCCCCUCCUGUCCGGUGAGAUCCGGCGCGCGCGUCCUCCAGCGGCCAAGCGCAGCCGUCUCCCGUUGUUAGGCUUUCGUUCGCUGAUAGAUCCAGCGCCGGCUGGCGGCGAGGGCCGCCAGAUCCGUGACCUGGGAGGCUCCUCCCGUAGGAUAUGGGAGCAGCGCGCCGCACCCUGCAGUCGUCGGUCCGGGACGAGCGCAACAGGUCAAGGACGGUGGCGACAAACGCCGGCGCUCCUCUGCUUCAUCGACCUGGACGGUUUCUACUCCGCCAAAGACGUCUCCUACAGAUCUCGAACAUCAUAUUUGUUGAUCAGCCGACCGGGACUGGGUUUAGCUACAGCUCCGACGACCGUGAUACCCGUCAUGACGAGGCAGGGGUCAGCAAUGACCUCUGUGACUUUCUCCAGCUGUGGGUACUGUGGCUACACAUUGAACUUGAGCUCCUCAACACGGAACACGGCCAACAUUGGAUCCAAGUACGGGAAGCAGAUCAGGAAAGGCGCCGUCUCAUCUUCGCGAUUUUUUGUAUUGUGUCCCUUGAAAAGCAUGGUUGCAACCAUUCCUAAUUUUUUGUUCUUGUUCGAUUUGGAUUUGGAUGCAACAGGUGCUCUGCUCUUGCGCAUGUUUGGUGGCGUCUCCGGCGCAGCCGUGCUUCUUGAGGCGACCGGCGUGAUGGCGGGUGUGUAUGGCGGCGACCACAAGCUCUCCAGGAGCUCCACAUAUGAGUCUCGGCCAUCCUCCACAACAAGUAGCUGGGCCAAGGGAGCAAGCAGCGCUAUUGGUUUCUUGAGGCCGGAUCGUGUAAGAUGGUGCAUCAUGGCGUGCGGCGGCUUAUUCUGUCAUAGUGGGUUAUGA
rnacentral:rRNA from 1 species